rnacentral:rRNA from 1 species
AACGAACGCUGGCGGCGUGCCUAACACAUGCAAGUCGAACGAGAAAGCGGGCUUCGGCCCGUGAGUAAAGUGGCAGACGGGUGAGUAACACGUGGGUAACCUGCCCGAAGGUGGGGAUAACCCUCCGAAAGGAGGGCUAAUACCGCAUGAAAUCUCGGGGUCUUGGCCUUCGAGAUCAAAGUUGGCCUCUGCUUGCAAGCCAACGCCGACGGAGGGGCCCGCGGCCCAUUAGCUAGUUGGUGAGGUAACGGCUCACCAAGGCGACGAUGGGUAGCCGGCCUGAGAGGGUGAUCGGCCACACUGGAACUGAGACACGGUCCAGACUCCUACGGGAGGCAGCAGUGAGGAAUCUUGCGCAAUGGGCGAAAGCCUGACGCAGCGACGCCGCGUGGAGGACGAAGGUCUUCGGAUCGUAAACUCCUGUCAAGAGGGACGAAACCCGCCGGGAUGAAUAAGCCCGGCGGUUGACGGUACCUCUGGAGGAAGCCCCGGCUAACUCCGUGCCAGCAGCCGCGGUAAUACGGGA